GUCACACCUGCUUCCAUCUCCACCCUCUCCAUGGCUGUUUGGGCACCGUCUGGCAUCCUGCAAGCAGCUGUGUCUCUCCUUCUGCCCACCUCAGAGCUCCUACCCAGGCAGCACCUCAGACCGCAGCUCUCAGACUUCCGGAACUUCUCAUUGUUUGUCUUCUCUUUUAACUCUGACCUCAGAUUCUGAGUUAUAUGUCCUGGCCCUCUCCCCUAGGGGUCUCUCUGUGUCUCACUGGCUGAGCUCUGUCCUUCUGUCUGUCUCUCCACUGGCCCUUGCUGCACUCACUGUGACCAUCUCACAGAAAGCUAUCAGGAUCCCACCCUUUCAGAGACACCAUCAAGACUACAGGGGUGAGGCUCUUGACUUCUCAUUCUUUGCUCUCGAUGAGGUAUCGGUGGGUGACCUGAUUUCUCUUGUCUUCUGUGGUGAUGGAGCUCUGCAGUGGCCAGAGCAGUACUCAGGAUCCUAUCUGCUCUAGGAGUCCUCUCAGCCAGGUGCUUUGCCACACUCCUGUAGAUGUGAUAAAGACCAUGUGCAUGUGGAGGACAGUGCCUUGCCAUCCCAACUCAGCCUGGGAAGAAGCCACAGUUCUACAGAGCCAAGCACCACAUGAACCAGCAUUCUGGAUCCUGUGGGGGCGCUGCUCAGGACUUCCAGGGAGUGAUGUGUGAACAGGAAGGUGACCCUUCCUGCUGGGGGUUGGAGGAGGGGAACAAGCUGGCUGGCUGGGUAUCCAGGUACAGUCCUUUCUGUGAGCGUGAGGCACUGAUGGGCUAAGGAGCAUUUGAGAAUGAUGCAGUUACGAACAAAACAAAACAAACAAAACAAAAAGAAAAAACAAA